rnacentral:tRNA from 1 species
GCGCCGAUGGUGUGAUGGUGUAGAGCAUUCCUGCCCGGUAAGCAGGUGGUGCGGGUUCGCGUCCCGUGAGGCGCU